AGAGUAAUCCUUAAGUUUGCUUUAUUAAAUUGUCAUGGCAAACAGCAUCACAUACGCAGUCCAGGUAAAGGCACUUCACACCUCAUGGAAUGAGCAAGCAAACUUCACUCAGAACUAGGUCUUAGGUUUAAAACACAGACUACUAGGAUGCCUGUUAGUUACUGUCUGCCUUCAGCUCAGGUCAUGAUCCCAGAGUCCUAAGAUACAGCCCCACAUCAGGCUCCCUGCUCAGUGGAGCGAGACCCUGCUUCUCCCCCUGCUUGUGCUCUCUCUGGCAAAUAAAAUCUAAAAUAAAAAAAAAAAAAAUACCGACUACUGUAACUUGACAACAUUUUACUUUCAGAAUAGGAGGAAAUUCUUUAAGUAUAUGGGGAAAUGGUUGCAAUUCCACAUGGUCUGUAAUUUUUUCAUUUGCACUUAAUACUUUAUUCUGGUUAUAAUUAUGUAUAUACAUAUACUUUAUGCUGACUUAAAAAGGAUAAAAAGCAGUAUGAAGGGAAUAGACCAUGUAGGCAAAUGAAAAUUAUCACUAUCAUCUUCACAGAGGUUAAAACAUUGUACCCUAGAAACAAGGAUAUUUUAGUUUUUCUUUGAAUGUGCACAUUCCAAUAUACAUUCAAAUAUACAAAGAAAAAUUAGCCUGUAGAAAUUAAAAUUACACCAGAAAUGAAAAUCCCAAUAGAUGGGAUUACAAAGUAAAAUUAAAGGAAUUUUUCAAAGAACAGGAAAAAAGGAAAGACAAGAAAGGUCAAUAAACUCUAAUAUUUUAUAAAAGAUCUAAAGAAAAGAGAAUAUUGAGGGUAGGGAGUUAUUAAACUGAAGAAGGGUCUCCUGCCUGGCUCAGUCGGUGAGUGUCCCCAACUCUUGGUUUCAGCACAGGUGGUGUCUCAAGGCUUGUGAGAUCCUGCCCUGCAUAGGGGCUCCAUGCUCAGCCAGGAGUCUGCUUGAAGAUUCUUUUUGCCCCUUCCCCCGAAUGUGUACACGUGUACUCUUUCUCUCUCAUAUAAAUAAAUCUUAGAACAAAAAAACAAUUCAAGAAAAUUUCCCAGAACUGAAGAGCUUGACUUUCCAGACUGAAAAUACCCACCAAGUGACCAGAAUAGUGGAAAAUAGCCUCAUACCAAGGCACAUACUUUACAAUUUCAGUACAGUGGCAAAGAAAAUUCUAUGUUUCCAGGAAAAAAAUGAAAAAGAAUUAGGAGUAAGAAGGAUUCUGGACUUCUCAACAAUAAUACUGAGGGGCACCUGGGUGGCUCAGUUUAAACGUUUGCCUUUGGCUCAGGUCAUUAUCUCAUGGUCCCUGCUCACCUGCACACUGGAUGGAGUAGUCUGCUUCUCUCUCUCCCUCUGCCCUUCCCCCAACUCAUGCACUCAAGUGCUCGCUCUCUCUCUCCCUCAAAUAAAUAAAAUCUUAAAAGAAAAUACUGGAAGCUAGAAAACUAUACAACAAUCCUUCCAAAUUCUGGUGUUGGUUAAAAACAACACAAAUGGUCAUUUCAGGCAAAGAGAAAAGCAUGAGAAAGGCACAGGUAAGAAAGAAAUAAGGCAUGUUACCUGCUUAAGGAACUGCAAACAUCUUAGAAUCAAGAGUGAGAGGUGGGUUGAAGUGAAGUGGUGACAGAGAUAGAAAAGGAGUCAGAGGGAUCCCUGGGUGGCGCAGUGGUUUGGCGCCUGCCUUUGGCCCAGGGCGCGAUCCUGGAGACCCGGGAUCGAGUCCCACGUUGGGCUCCCGGUGCAUGGAGCUUCUCCCUCUGCCUGUGUCUCUGCCUCCCUCUCUCUCUCUCUCUCUCUCUAGACUCCUGGGUGGCUCAGCAGUUGAGCCCUUGGCUCAGGGCAGGAUCUCGGAGUCCCGGGAUUGAGUCUCGCAUUGGGCCUCCUGCAUGGAGUCUGCUUCUCCCUCUGCCUGUGUCUCUGCCGCGCUCUCUCUCUCAUGAAUAAAUAAAUAAAUAAUCUUUUUAAAAAAAAUACAGUAAUGGUGAUAAUAAUAAAUAUCUAUUAGGCUAAGAGUCUUUAUGGAUUCAUUUUAUUUUCCAACUAACCUGUGAGAUAGGCACUAUUAUUUCAUGCCUACCUUACAAAUGAGGAAAGUGAACUCUGGUGAAAUCACAUUGCCUGUUAACAAAGGACACAGGAUAUUUGAACCCAAAGCCUUUCACCAAAGUCCACACUGUUUACUGAGCUCUUAAGUACUAACCAAUUCACCAAUAAGUCCUAUUAGCUCAACUCCAAAAUGCUAUCUUACAACCAGCCACUUCUUAGUUCCCCCAACUGCUACCACUCUGGCCUAGCCAUCAUUGUUAUCCUGAACUACUACAGGUGGCCCUUAACCAGCUUCCCCAUCCAUCACCCAUCCCUACAUUGUCUAUUCUCACUGAACAGCCCAAGUUAUCUUGUAAGUCUUAAAUCAUGUUACUGUUUACUCCCAUCAUGAGACCAUAAACAAGCAGGCCUCUGCCUACCUCAAAGUUUGAGUCACAUGGGCUUCAUUCUAAAGUGGGAACAAGGCAAACUACUUUCCACCCCUAAGACAUUACACUGGCUGUUUCCUCAAUUUCAGGAAUGCUCCUUCCCCUGUCUUACAAUGUUAGGUUCUUUCUCAUCCUUCAGCCCUCUGGCUCAAAUAACCACUCUUUCUUGAUAAUUUUCUACACAGAACUUACUCUAGGAGGGGUGGAGAUGUCCAUGUAUUUGUAUUAUGUGAGGAGGAAACUUGUUUUUACAUCUUCUCAGUUUACACUUUCUCACCUUAUAUAAUUCAGUCUUCCUUAAGACUGGCCAACUUUUUAAAAAAGAUUUUUACGUAGUCUCUACACCCAAUGUGCAGCUUGAACUCACAACACCAAGAUCAAGAGUUGCAUGCUCUAUGGACUGAGUCAGCCAGACCCCUUUAAGAUUAGCUUUUUCUUUUUGAAAGAGACAGGCAGACAGAAACAGCAGGAGGUGAAGUGUGUACAGGGAGAGGGAGGAAGGGGAAGAGAGAGAAUCGUAAUCUCACAACUCUGAGAUCAUGACCUGAGCCAAAAUCAAGGAUCUGGCACUUAACCAACUGAGCCACGCAGGAGCCCCAAGACUGGCUAUUUCUGAUUUCACCUACUUAAGUUUCCACAACUUUAAUCUCUGCUCUGAACAUAUCUUCAGAGUCUCAAAGCACUGUACUGACCAUCAUAAAUUCCUCCACUUUGAAAAUGAAGCUGAGAUUAAAAGAAAUGAGCUAGUCACUGAGCAGCAGGGGCUGAAUCUGAACCAAUUUCCAUGCUUUUCUCAUGGAUAUGCAUGUCGUAGUUAUUGGCAAGCAGUUUAAGCAGAGGACAUGUUAUAUGUUAACUUUAAGCUCAGAUUUGCUGAUAUUUAUAGAGCACUAUUUGAAACUGUCUUUAAGAUUUAUUUUUUAGAGAGUGAGUGUAUGGAGGGGAGGAAGGGGGCAGAGGGAGAGAGUGAAAGAGUCCCAAGCGGACUCGAGACUGGGUGCAGAGCCUGACUCGGCCUCAAUCCCACCACCCUGAGAGUAUGACCUGAGCUGAAACCAAGAGUCAGAUGCUUAACCAACUGUGCCACCAAGGCACCCCCAAAGCAAUCUUUUAAAGCAAUUUAUUUCUAUUUUACCUUUUUUAAAAAAACUGUCCCAGUGGGCAAGAGGUAAAGUUACUUCCAUUUUAUAGAUGAAAGGGACACAAAGAGGUAACUGUUUGAAAUGCUGCUCUUGAGUUCCAGUGGUAAUACUAUUUCCAUUAAACCAUGGUCUAGUUAACCAAAUAAUAUUCAAUUAAACCAAAGAUAAGUAAAAAAACCUAUGAUAAAAUCAAAACAGUUAAAGAGCAACAUUAUCUGAAGUGUUAGGGUUUGUUUAGGGGACGUCAUAGCAUAUUUAUUGGGACUCUCCUGCCUAAAAAAGACAAGGUCAAGGAGGAAUAUAGCUGAAUUACAAAAUUAUGAAAGGUACGGCUAAAGGAGAACCUGGACUUAGGAAGCACUCUUUAAAAAUCUGAGCAUGGUAGCAUUUUGUAUAGCACAUAAAAAAAAUAUAGAAUUUGGUAUUCAAGGAUGCAGUAGAAAUUCAGGUGUUUUAAAAAAUGGCACAAUUUUUUGAAUAUUCAGAGACGCACAUAGCUAUUAGUGAAGGUAGAAUAUAUCUAAUCUUCGAAAUGAAUGUCAGAUGGCAUCCCAGAAUGAUGGAAUCCUGGAGCAAAUGGGAGUAUCUUAGUUUCCAUAUCCCUAAGAUUAAUGUGAAAGUUUUAAACAUUUAUCCACAGGUCAAUGUAAACCAGUCCCAAUUUUUUUUUAAUAUCCUGAAAGCAGAAUUUUUUACCAGAAUUCUGAUUACAUCCCAGAAACUACACCUGCCUUAAUAAUCUGCUUCAUGUACUUUACUUAGGGCUGAUUUUGCUUUACAGAUGCAACCAUUAAAGUUUCUUUUCCCUCAUCCAAAAUGUACUUAAGAUUUUAUUUAUUUAUUCAUGAGAGACACAAAAAGAGAGGCAAAGACAUAGGCAGAGGGAGAAGCAGGUUCCAUGCAG
rnacentral:lncRNA from 1 species